AAGCUUGGAUUGGAAGUUGCUGGCCAGAUGGGGUGUUUGGAUGAGAACUGUUCUAGCAGCUGCCGUGGUAUCCAGUGAGAUUGUGAGACCCAGUCUGACAACCAAGGGGAUGAAGAUCUCUCUUUUCUUCUGUUUCCUCCUAGCUACAAGGUGUUUCCUUGUAGCAUAAUGGGUAAUCAGUCACCUGUGCGGAACUCUGGAAGCCAAACUUCAACUAAGACUAAAGAAGGAGGCCUCCAUGCUCAGUACCAGACAUUGAGAAACCAGGAGUACACUUUUGUAUUUGUGGUUAAACUGGAUUCACAUAUUCUCUAAGUGGAUAUUUUUAGAUUUGGAGUUGUCUUUGAAAAGAAUAGAAAUGAGGUAAUGUUUAGUAUGCAAGUGAUACUGAAAAAACUCAGCGCUGGGAAUGGUCUUUCAACUCCCCUUCCUGGAAGACACAUAUAACAGUGCACAGAACACAUUAUAAAUAAUUCUAUUGGCCCAUGCCUCUGUCUAUGCUGUCAAGAAAGGAAGAAUGGAAACAGACCAAAUGGACCAAUAAACAGAAAUGUCCCAAGU
ensembl:lincRNA 4930548K13Rik RIKEN cDNA 4930548K13 gene